rnacentral:rRNA from 1 species
CUGCAGUCGAUACGGGCAAACUAGAGUGUGGUAGGGGAGACUGGAAUUCCUGGUGUAGCGGUGGAAUGCGCAGAUAUCAGGAGGAACACCAAUGGCGAAGGCAGGUCUCUGGGCCAUAACUGACACUGAGGAGCGAAAGUGCGGGGAGCGAACAGGAUUAGAUACCCUGGUAGUCCGCACCGUAAACGGUGGGCACUAGUUGUGGGAACCUUCCACGGUUUCCGCGACGCAGCAAACGCAUUAAGUGCCCCGCCUGGGGAGUACGAUCGCAAGAUUAAAACUCAAAGGAAUUGACGGGGCCCCGCACAAGCAGCGGAGCAUGCGGCUUAAUUCGACGCAACGCGAAGAACCUUACCAAGGCUUAACAUAUAGUGAAAAGUGGCAGAGAUGUCAUGUCCGCAAGGGCGCUAUACAGGUGGUGCAUGGUUGUCGUCAGCUCGUGUCGUGAGAUGUUGGGUUAAGUCCCGCAACGAGCGCAACCCUCGUUCUGUGUUACCAGCAUUAAGUUGGGGACUCACAGGAGACUGCCGGGGUCAACUCGGAGGAAGGUGGGGAUGACGUCAAAUCAUCAUGCCCCUUAUGUCUUGGGCUGCACGCAUGCUACAAUGGCCGGUACAAAGUGCUGCGAGAUCGCAAGAUUGAGCGAAUCACAUAAAGCCGGUCUCAGUUCGGAUUGAGGUCUGCAACUCGACCUCAUGAAGUCGGAGUUGCUAGUAAUCGUAGAUCAGCAACGCUACGGUGAAUACGUUCCCGGGGCUUGUACACACCGCCCGUCACGUCACGAAAGUCGGUAACACCCAAAGUUAGUGGCCCAACCGCAAGGGGGGAGCUACCUAAGGUGGGAUCGGUGAUUGGGACGAAGUCGUAACAAGGUAACC